GAUGAAGAACGUAGCGAAAUGCGAUAAGUAAUGUGAAUUGCAGAAUUCAGUGAAUCAUCGAAUCUUUGAACGCACAUUGCGCCCCUUGGUAUUCCGAGGGGCAUGCCUGUUCGAGCGUCAUUAUAACCCCUCAAGCUCAGCUUGGUGUUGGGGCCUGCUGCACUGGCAGCCCUUAAAAUCAGUGGCGGCGCCAUCUGGCUCUAAGCGUAGUAAUUCUUCUCGCUAUGGAGUCCUGGUGGAUGUUUGCCAUCAACCCCCAAUUUUUCUAUGGUUGACCUCGGAUCAGGUAGGGAUACCCGCUGAACUUAAGCAUAUCAAUAAGCGGAGGA
rnacentral:misc_RNA from 1 species